rnacentral:lncRNA from 1 species
GGGUGUUGGUCCAUCUUCCUCUCGUUGGGUGCCUUCUGCCUCAUGAUCUCUGCCAAGGCUCGGGGGUCAUCAUACCCCCCAAUUCGAACAAAUUCCUCCUGAUGUUCGGGCCCACUGCAUUAAGGAGUAUCGAGACUCUGUAGAGUUUAAGAGGGAGGCCAUCGACAUUGCUGCUAGCAGAUUUAUCGAUGGUUUUGAGAACUACAAGGCCCGCUUACUAUGGAUGAUGCUGUUUUUGGAGCUCCAAUCCUUCUAGCUAGGAAACAGUGACGAGGAUGCUUCCUCGUCGGAUGAGGACUGAGCUUCCUCAUCCUUGAGCUGGAGAUCGAGGAGAGCAUCCACUAUCUGAUCGUUGCCAUCAUCCAUGAUGACAAGAGCUUCGAAUUGGGUUCGUUGAUCAGUGGGGAUCUGCUUCUAGAUCGGUGUGACCUUCAUGGCUUUCUUCCAUUUUGCUAUACUUUCUCCCGCUUUUCCUUUCUCCCUUUCUCUUUUUUUUGUAAGGUGGCACUGAGGACGCCAUCCUUCUUCUUGUAAAUAUCAAAAUGACCCU